rnacentral:rRNA from 1 species
GGCGCGGCAUGCGCCAAGGAACACGGAAGUGAAGGCCCACGUGAUCCAUCCGUGCGGCGGAGGCACGUGGUGCUCAUCACCGAUACGAAAAAAGAGUCUU